UAAAUAGUUAUAAAGUCUUGAUCUCUAGGGUAGCUGCACCUCAAGUCCCAUGUUCAGUAUUAGGCCACUCACAUUAAAAGGGACGUAGGGGUGCUGGAGUUCACCCAAAGAAGGGCAACAAAGUUGGUGAAGAGUCUGGAAAACAAAGUGUCAUGAGGAGCAGCUAAAGGACCUGGAGUUGUUUAGUCUGGAGAAGAGGAGGAUCAGGACCUCACCACUUUCUACAGCUGCCUGAGAAAGGCUGUAGCAGGUGGUUGUUGGGAAGGGUAGAUAAAUAUGAUUAAAAACCACAAUGGUACAGCCAGGACGAAUAUAACGCCCCCUACUGGCUGGACAAUAACCUUACCUACAGCGGGGUCCAAAAGCCAAAUGGACUGUUCCAUGUCACCCCCCAGAAUGUAUGGUUCACCCCACAUCUGUAACCCUCCCCUGAACCAUCAGGUGCCUGUGACCCCAUUGGCCCAGGUCCUGUUCCAGCCCACCCUGGAGCCCCCUUUGAUAAAGGCUCUCUGGGGGGCUGGACGUUCUCUUGGAUCUUCCCUUCUCCUCCUGGAGAGUCCUCCGGGAGUCCCUGCUCCCCUCUCUGUCUCUCCCCUCCCCCAUCACCCGAGGCCCAGCCACGUGCUGUGUCUGGCAGCUCGAGGCAGGGUCACAAUGUAUCCUGAAUAAACCUCAUCCCCCAAGAGCAACCAAAGAGAUCUCGCUUGAAUCUGUCCGUGGAAUACAAAUAUACGUCGUUACAGGUGGUCACCAUUCUCUUCUGCCAGGUCUCAAGUGACAGAACAAGAGGACUUGGCCUCAAAGUUACAUCAGGGGAGGUUCAGUUUAGACAGGUGUUUUUUCACAGAAAGGGUAGUCAGGCACUUGAAAUAAGUUACUCAGGGUGGCGGUAAAGUCACUGUGCCUGGAAGUAUUCAUGAGGCAUCUCAAUGUGGUACUUUGGAAAAUAGUUCAGAGUGAUUAUGGUGGUACUGGGUUGAACUAGAUGAUCUUGAAGACCUCUUCUAACCUUAAACAUUCUGUGCCUCUGGGACUGUACUACACAGCGUCUUUGACGGGCAUGUGUAUAUCUACCAUGUCCAACUGAGCAGUUGUUUUGGGCCUUCCUUCUCAGUCUGGAAUCAUCUCCAACUGAUCUGCAGAGGAACAAACUCAAGUCUGAGGCCACAUAUGCAAGCAGAUAGGACUUGGUUGAUCCCACAGCUGUGUGCCAGGUGACUGCCACAAAGAGUAGCUGCCAGUCUUCUGCUGAGUUCAUCAUCAGUGAGGAUUUUCUAACCUUUAGUUGAAGGUAACCUUCAAUUUCAAGAAUUUCAGGAAAUAAAGAUAAUAUUUUCAAAACGCCUUCAGACAAUGUUUUUUACAGUAAGAUAAGGUUAGGUUUAGUCUGGACUUAUCUUGAACUGUCAAGAUUGACUGAAUGUGAUCAUUUUCCUGGAAGAAAAUGCACAGCAAUAUCUUCAGUCAGACUUUUUUUAAUAUAAGUUAAUAAUGGUGUGUUAAAAUGUACAAUUCUCAUUUAGCUGCUGAAAAUCUGACAACAGCAUUCCUAGUAGUGGACAAUCAUUCUGCACCAAAUAUUUCUUAGCAGCACAUAGAGUAGAAAGUUGACUAUGUACAGACCUUUCCUAUGAUACAGUUUCUAUGUAUGUGUGCUUGCUUGAGCAAUUUUUAGUCUACAUACAUACUACAUACAGAGGAUACAUAACUCUAGGGAUUAGUGUAAGUUCUUUUUAGGGCUAAAUUUUUUUUUUUUCACUAUAUAUAGUGAAAUAGACAUUGUGUUUUCAUGAACAAAUGUUAGACAAUGAGUCUUGGCAUUAGUCUUCAGACAACUGUUACCUAUGUUUUAAUUUUAGGGACAUAAAUGUUUGGUAUGAAUAAGAGCGACAUGCUUUCUAGAAAUGUAGCAUUAAGCAUUACGAACCUGAUGUUUGGCCAGACUAUCCAUGCAUGCAAAGUAAGCAUGUGGUGCUUGUUGAAAUAGACAGUUUAAGCCCUUUACCUUUUUUCACCUCUUACAUCAGUGUUUAAGUUAAUAUUAAGAUGCCACUGUUUCUAAAAUGGAAGCUGUGUUUUUGAUAUAUCUGUAUUUUGUACUUACAUUUUGUUUAGCUAUAUUCACAGUACAUUUCAUUUUACUUCAAUUAGACCAUAGCCCAGUAUUAUUUCUAGUGAAUAGCAGUUAUGUUCCUGGGAAAUUAUUUCAAUAUUGUAAUGUGUAUAGAAGUAGAUACUGCCUAGUGAGUUAAUGAACAAAUCCUGUUUUGCAACCCACCAAAUGACUGAAAAAAAUUCCUCAGUGCCAUGUAGUAACUUGACUGUUAUACGUCAUUUUGAUUGUUAUAUAUUGUAAUGAUAUUACAUUAGUGUUGCAUAUAACUGCUUGAAAAAUAGAGCUGUUUUGAAGCUAGAAAUUCACUUUUCUUAAAAAUUAUAAACAAAUGCUGGCAUGUGAACGAGUUCUAACUAUCUUUGUGAUUAGCCUAAAAAUAAAAGAUAUGUUUACACAAUUUUACCUUUAAAAAUUCAAUUCAUCUUAAACAAAUCGAGUUGUGCCAACAAUGCAUUCUAAAUUUGAUUCUCUUUUUAUAGAAAUUUCUAACUUAAAAAAUCUUUAUCAUACAGAAUAAAGUAUUUCACCUGACUUUGAAGCUUGUGCUCUGUUCUUAUGGCAAAAAAUGCCUUAAACUUUUAGGCAUAGCAGAAAAUUAAUAAAUUCUGCCAGGUAAAAAUAUAGAGAGCAAUUUUUUCAGACUUGUUGUUAGGGGUGUCUUUUCUUAACCAGCAUCAUAGCUCUUCUCCAAUCUGCUCCUACUGAGAGGAAUUUACUGCAUUCAGAAUCUGUACAUACUAUGCUGGAAUUCAAAAACAAUAGAUUAAAAAAUAAGUACAUGUCAAAUUUUCAGAAUAUAACUCUAAGGAAUUAAUAUAUUUUCCCCAAAACUGUUCUGUGGAGCUUAAAUGCCUGCCUGUCUGACAUGUCAGUUUUUUCCUGGCCUAAUAAUUUUCAAGAUGCCCUUUGCCCCAGAUCCUUGAAAUAAAACAAGGAUGGCAUUUGUCAGCAAGUUUCUCAUGUCUGCUACCUCUCAUUCCAUGAGCUGUCAUUUGAAAAGGUACAUUUAACUUGUGAAAAGGUCAUUUUUCAACUAAGAAGAGAGCUUGAUGUUUUAGAUUGUGUCUUGAUCCAAAUUCCAUUUGACUCUACAGAAAUAACUUGCACAUGUGUAAGUACCUAUACAUCUCUGUGUGCAUGUGUGCACACACAAAUGAGGAACACAACAGGCACCCUCCCAUAUUAAAUAAUUUUUCCUCCUUGGGAUUCAAAUAUACACAUAAUCCUAUGGCUUUCCACCAGGAGCCUAUAUAAUUGCUCUUGCCAUAUCCAGGUCAGCUUACCAUGCCUCUGUGUGUCUACUGUACCUUCAGAUUUGAUGUCCUAUUACAAAGCAGAUGAAGAAAUACUUUGCAAGAAAUACAGAAGUGGAUUUAAAAAAACAAGGAAAACUUCCUUAAUUCAUUUACUCAGUGUUUUUCUUUUCUGUAAGCACUCCAGAAGAGACUGUAAGAGCACUGCCACUUGUGGCUAACUGGAAGGCAGACAAGCCAUCUGGGCAAAAGAUGGAGGUAAUCCCACAGUUCACCUGGAAGCACUGCCUCCGUCACCACCAGCACACCACUGUCACAAACAGUAGUUACAAGCAGGUUUUUGUAGCACACAGAUCCAUCAGAUAUCUGUAUCAAUUUUAUAAGCAAUGAGAAAAGUCACACAUAAGCACAAGAGAAACCCCACAUCAAACAGGUCCGCUUGCCUCAUAGUUACUUGAGGAAUAGGGAUGAGAUGGGUUAGUUUUCCCAUCUGUUGUUCCUGAUGCUUCUGGUGGUAAUUUCAUUAUCUGAAUUAGAGCACAUAUUUUUCAAAAUCAUCCAGAAGUCACCCAGGCCAUCAGGUGUCUCUGGCAAUGUGUUAAAUCUCAAAAGCAAAAUUGGUAAAUAUUGUCAUACUGGCCAAGAGAGCUUUGGAUCACCACUGUCACCUAAAUGACACCUGGCAUUCUUCUCACCCAGCCAGAGAAGCCUCUUUGUCCCUCCAUUUCACAGUGGUACCAACUGCACAGCAUGUUGCUGGCUGUGUGUGGCUUCUCUGAUGAGCAGAAUAUAACAUAAUCUAUAUGUUCUGCAAGAUAAGGCUUUGCAGUAGGUAAUUUUCCUGCCCCUCUGACUGAUAUAUGAGAGUUUGAAAGACUGGGCCGAUGGGUAUUGGGCAUCCGCUGUCAUUAGAACAAGCCCUGUGGAUAGGUCUUUACAGCACACAACUGUUUUCCUUUCUCACAGCUGUCAAACAUUUUUUCUGGAGCAAGACAAUGUAAGUAACAGCAGCUCAAAUAUAGCUCUUUAAAACUGUUUGUGUUUCAUGAGGUGAAGAAAAUUCCUUUUGGUCCAGUGGAGACUCUUAACUGAGUGUAUAAUAAAGGAUUUUUUUUUCUCUCUCUCGUUUUUAUAUCAUGUACAAAUGUAAAAGUAAUGAUAAUAGGUUUUCCUCUUUGCUGAUAAUAUAAGAUGUUUCUGACAGGAACGAAAUUCAAGACGACACAUUCCUGGCUCAGUUAGGCUACUCUGACUGAUGUGGUCUGGUUACCUUUUCCCCCCUAUUUUCUUUUUAGAAAUAUAUUAUCACCGGCACCUCAGAAUGAGCCAUGUAUUUCUGCUACAAAGGUCAGCCCAUUAAAUACUUUUACACAUACGCCCAAUACAAAUCAAUUCUCUUUGGCUCAAGUGCACUGAAAGAGGUCCAGAUUACGUUCAGUCCAAAUUAUAUCACAUUCUCCUCAAUCAAAUCCCCAAGAAUUUGAUUUUUUUUUAAUCCACUGGUGCUAAAGAGCAUUAAAAGCCAACUAAGAGCAAGAUAUAAACAUAUUUUAGCAGGUUGACUGGAAUACUCACAGAUGAGACAGGCAAAUAGGCACCAAAAUGAGCCAUGGAUUUUGAUGACCUGAAAAAGGCACUUGGCACAUGGUAAGACAUGACAUAAUAAUUGAAAUUUCAUCAUUCUUAUGAAGUUUUCUGUAGAAUUAUCACUCUUUAAAUCUAAAAAUCAAAAUAUUUUGCUUUGCUCUAUGUGGAUAGCAUUUAUGAAUCUCAUUAUUAUAAGAUGAAUGUGUAUAAUUUAGAAUGAAGUGUUAAACAUUUUAUAACACAACGUGAAUCACAGAGUCAUUAGGGUUGGAAAAUACCUCUAAAAUAAUCAAGUCCAACCACUAGCCUAACUCCAGCAGGUCCAACACUGAACAAUAAAAUCAUAGAAUCAUUAAGAUUGAAAAAGACCCUUAAGAUCAUCAUGUCCAACCAUCAAUGUAGCACAAACACGUGUUCACAAAUAAACCAUGUCUCUAGGUGCCACAUCCACUCAGUUUUGGAACACUUCCAGGGAUAAGGACUCAUCCACUUUGACAGUCAGCCUCUCCCAGUGAUUGACCAGCCUUUUGGGAAAGAAAAGGGAUUACUAACUUCUGUAAUGAUGUGUCUGUUGAUUUUGAUUUUUCUCUUCAAUAGGUAUCCAAAGCAAUCUACCAAAUAUUUUUGUCAGCUCAAGAGAAUUCUGUCUUUUCCACUCCAAGUGGAUAUGCUACUUGAAAAAGCUCCGUGGCAGAAGAAAACAAGCUUGUCUGCUGGUACCAGGUGCAGGGCUUGUUCACAGGUAUGCUGGGCAGAGCCUAACUCUAUGAAGUCCCAGAUUUAGCAGUCAGGGUAUAGCAGCCUGUGGGAAGGCAGCUCCUGGCCCAGGGUUGCAGCAGGACAACUCUGACCAUCCAGCCUGUGCUUCUGCAACUCUGGAGCAGAUGUUGUUCUACUGAUUAUGUGUGGGAUUUGUUAAUAUAGCACUUUUGACUGAGCACACAACCUAACUGUGCUUGCACAAACUGCAUCUUUGUUACUGGUUACACUCGUUCUCAGAGGACCAUGUCUUUCUGCCUCAGACCAAUGCUGCCUGCAUUGAUAGCACCUUAGCAAAGAACAAAGACAAUUGUGAAGAGGCAGACAAAUCACUAACAAUUAUAAAUUAUACAAGAACAAAAUGUUCAAGUAAUAUUAACCUAAAGGUAUCAUCACCCAUUUUCCUUCAAUGGAUGAAGUCAGCUAGUUAGUAUUCAAGUGUUACUACCCAAAUAAUUUUUUUUUUUUUAACUGAGCAGACUGGGGAAAAUUCAUCAGGAUGCCCUAAUUCUGUUCCUUCAUGCUUAAUCAAUCACACCUCUGCUAAGUUGUGCAGUAUUUUGUUGCAAAAGUCUUAACAAAGAAAUUGGUCUGUGGCAAAAUGAAUAAAACAUUUGCCUCAGUGUUAAUGAUCCUUAAGUGCCUCUAGAAAAACGAGUUGGAAAGACUUCUUCCUUUAACAGAGAGACUUGAAGUAACUGCUAUUAAGAUAAAAAGGGCCAUAUUUAAGGGUGGAAAUAAAAAAGGGAAUACACCUCUUAUUUGAAGUGCCAGCCCAGUCCCUUGCACAAAUACACAUCCAUGGGAUCCUGAGGUAAGAGUUUGUUUUUAUCCAGUCACCUCUUUCCUACUGCAGUUUUUACACCAGCAUUAAUCAUCUUAAUAUUUUCUCAUUCUGUUUUCAUGGAGCUUAUUGUGUCACCUCAAAGACAUUUAUCAAGUGGUGGCUGACAGGAUGCAACUAUUUACUUUGAAGCAGUGGGAGCAUACAGGGCAGCGAAGCACAGUGAAAAUCUGUAUUGGCUGGCACUUGCAAUUCCUGAACGAUUCAUACGUCUCCUUGAGCACGUCCCCAAAGGCAAAGAAUAAUGACUUAUGUUUCCUUACAGAAAUGUCAUUUUUAUCUGAGGCAUAAAGUAGUAAAAGAAGAAAAAACUGCUACAUAUUAAGCAUGCUGUAAAAGAUUUAUUUAAAGAUAAUUACAGACGAAUGUAAAACCAGUGACUGAAUGGUAGGGGAUUAUUUACUGUUAUUUCAAAUUAACUUACUUUAAAUCCAUCUAAAGCAUACUUGAAGUUAAGAUGAGGCCUUUCUUCUGAUUUCUAUUUUAAAAAUAGAAAGGGAGAAACAAGAGUUACCACUGGUUUAGGGUGUGUAUUUCAUUAAAUAAUGUAAUUGGUAGACAGCUGCUGACAACAAAAUCCUCCUUUAAGAAAGCACUGAUUUGAAAACUAUUGUGAGGUCAUGUAACCUCAUUAUUCUCUUUACAUCUUCCAUUAGGUCAAAAUACCAGUACCUUUUGCAGUAACUUUCAUCUCAGGCAGCAUAUGCCAGAAUUUCACUUUCAACUCUGGCUUUUUUAUUCUUCAGAAGGAUUACAAUCUGCAACACCACCGCUUCAUUUUCAUUACAUCUUUUAGGGGAAAUCAGUUUCACAUUGUGUUAUUUUUAUACUCCUUAACAAGGUUUAGAAAGAAAAAGAGAAAAUGAAUCCUUUUAAAUUAAGAGGUCCCAGUUUGAUAGCACUUUCCAAAAAAAAAAAAAAAAAAAAAAAAA
rnacentral:lncRNA from 1 species